UUCAACUUGUUUGUAAAUCCA
rnacentral:piRNA from 1 species